GAAACUAACAAGGAUUCCCCUAGUAACUGCGAGUGAAGCGGGAAAAGCUCAAAUUUAAAAUCUGGCGGUCUUUUUUGGCUGUCCGAGUUGUAAUUUAGAGAAGCAUUACCCGCGCUGGACCGUAUACAAGUCCUCUGGAAUGGGGCGUCAUAGAGGGUGAGAAUCCCGUCUUUGAUAUGGACUACCAGUGCUUUGUGGUGUGCUCUCGAAGAGUCGAGUUGUUUGGGAAUGCAGCUCAAAAUGGGUGGUAAAUUCCAUCUAAAGCUAAAUACAGGCGAGAGACCGAUAGCGAACAAGUACCGUGAGGGAAAGAUGAAAAGAACUUUGGAAAGAGAGUUAAACAGUACGUGAAAUUGCUGAAAGGGAAACGCUUGAAGUCAGUCGCGUUGGCUGAGAAUCAGCCUUGCUCUUUUGCUUGGUGUACUUCUCAGUCGAUGGGUCAGCAUCAGUUUUGACUGCUGGAUAAAGGUCAGGGGAAUGUGGCAUCUUUGGAUGUGUUAUAGCCCUUGUUCGUAUACAGCAGUUGGGACUGAGGAACUCAGCACGCCGCAAGGCCGGGUUUUCAACCACGUACGUGCUUAGGAUGCUGGCAUAAUGGCUUUAAUCGACCCGUCU
rnacentral:rRNA from 1 species